CAUAUCAAUAAGCGGAGGAAAAGAAACUAACAAGGAUUCCCCUAGUAACUGCGAGUGAAGCGGGAAAAGCUCAAAUUUAAAAUCUGGCAGUCUCUGGCUGUCCGAGUUGUAAUCUAGAGAAGCGUUAUCCGCGCUGGACCGUGUACAAGUCUCCUGGAAUGGAGCGUCAUAGAGGGUGAGAAUCCCGUCUUUGACACGGACUGCCAGGGCUUUGUGAUGCGCUCUCAAAGAGUCGAGUUGUUUGGGAAUGCAGCUCAAAAUGGGUGGUAAAUUCCAUCUAAAGCUAAAUAUUGGCGAGAGACCGAUAGCGAACAAGUACCGUGAGGGAAAGAUGAAAAGAACUUUGGAAAGAGAGUUAAACAGUACGUGAAAUUGCUGAAAGGGAAACGCUUGAAGUCAGUCGCGUUGGCCAGGGAUCAACCUUGCUUUUGCUUGGUGUACUUUCUGGUUGACGGGUCAGCAUCAAUUUUGACUAUUGGAAAAAGGUCAGGGGAAUGUGGCAUCUUCGGAUGUGUUAUAGCCCUUGGUUGCAUACAAUGGUUGGGAUUGAGGAACUCAGCACGCCGCAAGGCCGGGUUUUUAACCACGUACGUGCUUAGGAUGCUGGCGUAAUGGCUUUAAUCGACCCGUCUUGAAACACGGACCAAGGAGUCUAACAUGCCUGCGAGUGUUUGGGUGGAAAACCCGAGCGCGUAAUGAAAGUGAAAGUUGAGAUCCCUGUCGUGGGGAGCAUCGACGCCCGGACCAGACCUUUUGUGACGGUUCCGCGGUAGAGCAUGUAUGUUGGGACCCGAAAGAUGGUGAACUAUGCCUGAAUAGGGUGAAGCCAGAGGAAACUCUGGUGGAGGCUCGUAGCGAUUCUGACGUGCAAAUCGAUCGUCAAAUUUGGGUAUAGGGGCGAAAGACUAAUCGAACCAUCUAGUAGCUGGUUCCUGCC
rnacentral:rRNA from 1 species